rnacentral:rRNA from 1 species
GCGCAGCAGUCGAGAAACCUCCGCAAUGCGGGAAACCGCGACGGGGGACCCCGAGUGCCGUGGCAACGCCACGGCUUUUCCGGAGUGUAAAAAGCUCCGGGAAUAAAGGGCUGGGCAAGGCCGGUGGCAGCCGCCGCGGUAAUACCGGCGGCCCGAGUGGUGGCCGCUAUUAUUGGGCCUAAAGCGUCCGUAGCCGGGCCCGUAAGUCCCUGGCGAAAUCCCACGGCUCAACCGUGGGGCUUGCUGGGGAUACUGCGGGUCUUGGGACCGGGAGGGGCGGGGGGUACCCCUGGGGUAGGGGUGAAAUCCUAUAAUCCCAGGGGGACCGCCAGUGGCGAAGGCGCCCCGCUGGAACGGGUCCGACGGUGAGGGACGAAGGCCAGGGGAGCAAACCGGAUUAGAUA